AGUUUGAUUCUGGCUCAGGAUGAACGCUAGCUACAGGCUUAACACAUGCAAGUCGAGGGGCAGCAUGAAGUCAGCUUGCUGACUUUGAUGGCGACCGGCGCACGGGUGCGUAACGCGUAUCAAACCUGCCGCAUACUCGGGGAUAGCCUUGCGAAAGUAAGAUUAAUACCCGAUGUUAUUAUUUUCCCGCAUGGGUAGAUAAUCAAAGAUUUAUCGGUAUGCGAUGGUGAUGCGUCUGAUUAGGUAGUAGGCGGGGUAACGGCCCACCUAGCCAACGAUCAGUAGGGGUUCUGAGAGGAAGGUCCCCCACACUGGAACUGAGACACGGUCCAGACUCCUACGGGAGGCAGCAGUGAGGAAUAUUGGUCAAUGGACGAAAGUCUGAACCAGCCAAGUAGCGUGCAGGAUGACGGCCCUCCGGGUUGUAAACUGCUUUUAGUUGGGAAUAACGGCAGCCACGUGUGGC
rnacentral:rRNA from 1 species